UUGGAGGGCAAGCUGGUGCCAGCAGCCGCGGUAAUUCCAGCUCCAAUAGCGUAUAUUAAAGUUGUUGAGGUUAAAAAGCUCGUAGUUGAACCUUGGGCCUAGCCGGCCGGUCCGCCUCACCGCGUGCACUGGCUCGGCUGGGUCUUUCCUUCUGGAGAACCGCAUGCCCUUCACUGGGUGUGCCGGGGAACCAGGACUUUUACNCUGAACAAAUUAGAUCGCUUAAAGAAGGCCUAUGCUCGAAUACAUUAGCAUGGAAUAAUAGAAUA
rnacentral:rRNA from 1 species